rnacentral:rRNA from 1 species
AGUUGAUCAUGGCUCAGGACGAACGCUGGCGGCGUGCCUAACACAUGCAAGUCGAGCGGAGACAGACGGAAAGCUUGCUUCUGUCUGUUCAGCGGCGGACGGGUGAGUAACGCGUGAGCAACCUGCCUUUAACAGGGGAAUAACGCAUCGAAAGAUGUGCUAAUACCGCAUAAGACCACAGCAUCACAUGGUGCAGGGGUCAAAGGAGCAAUCCGGUUAAAGAUGGGCUCGCGUCCGAUUAGCUGGUUGGUGAGACAACAGCCCACCAAGGCGACGAUCGGUAGCCGACCUGAGAGGGUGAUCGGCCACAUUGGAACUGAGAUACGGUCCAGACUCCUACGGGAGGCAGCAGUGGGGAAUAUUGGGCAAUGGGCGAAAGCCCUGACCCAGCAACGCCGCGUGAGGGAAGAAGGGUUUCGGCUCGUAAACCUCUGUCCUAUGGGACGAAGGAAGUGACGGUACCAUAGGAGGAAGCCCCGGCUAACUACGUGCCAGCCGCAGC